GGAAGGCAUCCGUGCCCGGCGGUACGGCUGGGCUUCAAACCCAGUUGGGGGCGUCAGACGUUCCCAGGUAGGUUCGACUCCUGCUGCCUUCCGCCA
rnacentral:tRNA from 1 species